AUGGUUCCAGAUUUUUUUCCUAGGUUUUCUAUCUCCAGUGUUGCCUCACUUUGGGUUCUUUAUUGUGUCUACUUCCCUUUUUAGGUCUUGGAUGGUUUUAUUCAAUUCCAUCACCUGUUUGGUUGUGUUUUCCUGCAAUUCUUUAAGGGAUUUUUGUGCUUCCUCUUUAAUAUCUUCUACCUGUUUAGUAGUGUUCUCCUGUAUUUCUUUAAGUGAGUUAUUUAAGUCCUUCUUGAUGUCCUCUACCAUCAUCAUGAGAUAUGCUUUUAAAUCCGGGUCUAGCUUUUUGGGUGUGUUGGGGUGCCCUGGACUGGGCGAAGUGGGAGUGCUGGGUUCUGAUGAUGAUUUCAAAGCUUCACCAAGUAAAGGAACUCAGAAAUCCAGACAACAGUUUUCAUGAAGCUGAUCAGCAGGAGCUUCCUCUGCCAGGCCUGCUCCCCAAAGGAAGAACGCUCAGAGCCAGGCCUUGGAGAUGAGAGAUGAGAUGCGUAAUGAAGAGCUGUUUGUUUUCUAGAGAUCUACAAGUCAAUUUGGGAUGCUUCAUCGGCCAAGUUUCUAUCUCUGUACUAGGCAACCAUUACAUGUUUACAGUUUGAAUAAAAUGUCCAUCCUUGCUU
rnacentral:lncRNA from 1 species